UGAGAUUGAGAUGUUUGUUAAGAUUAUGAGGAUCACACAAUAAUAAAGGUGAUGCUAAAGUAACACUGGAAAAAUGAUUGAGUUGAUUACCUUUAUACCAUACGGUCUCAGUUUCAUUUUCUUGUAAUUAUUCUAUUUUCUUUUUUUCUUUUUCAUUUUCUUGUAAUUAUUCUAUUUUCUUUUUUUCUUUUUCAUUUUCUACUUAU
rnacentral:lncRNA from 1 species